rnacentral:sRNA from 1 species
UGCCUAAACUCAUCCGUUUGGCUGAGCAUGGCAUCAAAACCAGUGGUGGGUACCGAGCUGUCGGUGCAGUCUUCCAUCACUGGUACAUAUCCGAAAGGGUGUGGGGGAGCGCAAGCUUCU